rnacentral:rRNA from 1 species
AGCAGCCGCGGUAAUUCCAGCUCCAAUAGCGUAUAUUAAAGUUGUUGCAGUUAAAAAGCUCGUAGUUGAAUUUCGGGGUUAGUAGGUUGGUCAUGCCUCUGGUAUGUACUGGUCUCACUGAUUCCUCCUUCCUGAUGAACCUUAAUGCCAUUAAUUUGGUGUUUUGGGGAAUUUGGACUGUUACUUUGAAAAAAUUGAGAGUGUUUAAAGCAAGCUAACGCUUGAAUACAUUAGCAUGGAAUAAUGAAAUAGGACGUUCGAUCCUAUUUUGUUGGUUUCUAGGAUUGACGUAAUGAUUAAUAGGGAUAGUUGGGGGCAUUAGUAUUCAAUUGUCAGAGGUGAAAUUCUUGGAUUUAUUGAAGACUAACUACUGCGAAAGCAUUUGCCAAGGAUGUUUUCAUUAAUCAAGAACGAAAGUUAGGGGAUCGAAGACGAUCAGAUACCGUCGUAGUCUUAACCAUAAACUAUGCCGACUAGGGAUCGGAUGAUGUUAAUUUUUUCAAUGACUCAUUCGGCGCCU